AUUGAUUAUGACGUACUUGUACUGAUUGAGAUUUUAACACGAAGUGAGUGGCGAACGGGUGAGUAACACGUGGGUAACCUGCCCAGAAGUAGGGGAUAACACCUGGAAACAGAUGCUAAUACCGUAUAACAGAGAAAACCGCAUGGUUUUCUUUUAAAAGAUGGCUCUGCUAUCACUUCUGGAUGGACCCGCGGCGUAUUAGCUAGUUGGUGAGGUAAAGGCUCACCAAGGCAGUGAUACGUAGCCGACCUGAGAGGGUAAUCGGCCACAUUGGGACUGAGACACGGCCCAGACUCCUACG
rnacentral:rRNA from 1 species